CCUACGGGAGGCAGCAGUGGGGAAUAUUGCACAAUGGGCGAAAGCCUGAUGCAGCCACGCCGCGUUAGCGAUGAAGGCCUUCGGGUCGUAAAGCUCUUUCCUCAAGGAAGAUAAUGACGGUACUUGAGGAGUAAGCCCCGGCAAACUACGUUCAGGCAGCCGCGGGAAUACGUAGGGGGCUGGGGUUAUCCGGAAUUACUGGGCGUAAAGGGUGCGUAGGUGGUUUCUUAAGUAAGAGGUGAAAGGCUACGGCUAAACCGUAGUAAGCCUUUGAAACUGGGGAACUUGAGUGCAGGAGAGGAGAGUGGAAUUCGUGGUGUAGCUGUGAAAUGCGUAGAUAUUAGGAGGAACACCGGUUGCGAAGGCGGCUCUCUGGACUGUAACUGACACUGAGGCACGAAAGCGUGGGGAGCAAACAGGAUUAGAUACCCCAGUAGUC
rnacentral:rRNA from 1 species